rnacentral:rRNA from 1 species
AUUGAACGCUGGCGGCAUGCCUUACACAUGCAAGUCGAACGGCAGCGCGGGAGCAAUCCUGGCGGCGAGUGGCGAACGGGUGAGUAAUACAUCGGAACGUGCCCAAUCGUGGGGGAUAACGCAGCGAAAGCUGUGCUAAUACCGCAUACGAUCUACGGAUGAAAGCAGGGGAUCGCAAGACCUUGCGCGAAUGGAGCGGCCGAUGGCAGAUUAGGUAGUUGGUGAGGUAAAGGCUCACCAAGCCUUCGAUCUGUAGCUGGUCUGAGAGGACGACCAGCCACACUGGGACUGAGACACGGCCCAGACUCCUACGGGAGGCAGCAGUGGGGAAUUUUGGACAAUGGGCGAAAGCCUGAUCCAGCCAUGCCGCGUGCAGGAUGAAGGCCUUCGGGUUGUAAACUGCUUUUGUACGGAACGAAACGGUCUUUUCUAAUAAAGAAGGCUAAUGACGGUACCGUAAGAAUAAGCACCGGCUAACUACGU